rnacentral:rRNA from 1 species
UAACCGGAUUAGAUACCCUGGUAGUCCACGCCGUAAACGAUGUCGACUAGCCGUUGGGCUCAUUUAAGGGUUUAGUGGCGCAGCUAACGCGAUAAGUCGACCGCCUGGGGAGUACGGCCGCAAGGUUAAAACUCAAAGGGAUUGACGGGGGCCCGCACAAGCGGUGGAGCAUGUGGUUUAAUUCGAUGCAACGCGAAGAACCUUACCAGCCCUUGACAUCCUGCGAACUUUCUAGAGAUAGAUUGGUGCCUUCGGGAGCGCAGUGACAGGUGCUGCAUGGCUGUCGUCAGCUCGUGUCGUGAGAUGUUGGGUUAAGUCCCGUAACGAGCGCAACCCUUGUCCUUAGUUGCCAGCGGUUCGGCCGGGAACUCUAAGGAGACUGCCGGUGAUAAACCGGAGGAAGGUGGGGAUGACGUA